ensembl:ncRNA lncRNA:CR44857 long non-coding RNA:CR44857
AAUGUGCUAACUGCCGCACACUUAGUGUCAACUUCAGGAACAGGGAACUCCUGCCCGCAGAAGGCCACCAGAUAAUUGUUAACCAUUAAGUCGCACCGCAAAUCAAGUGCAGCAAUUGCAACUGGACUGCAAUUCAUUUGCGGCAUGGAUCAUUAAAGGGCGCAGGGCCCGAGAACUUUGGACCGGAGACAAACCGCAUGCAAAGUUGCCAACGUGGCCGAAACAGACGUCACCGCCGGAACCAGUCCGGUCCAAAGUAAACCGAACUCCAUCCCCCCGGGGCCAUCGAAAAUGCUUCAGCUGGAAAGUUUGUGAGCAUAAAGAGUUUUCAGCCAAGUGAUGGAUGGAGUGGAUGAGCUGCUGGCAGGGUAAUGGGCACAAAAAGGAUUGCAGAAUGGUUUCACGCUGCUUUCAGAUCCAUUAAGCAUUCCAUGCCGGCGAUGGCAAU